ACUAGUUUACAUACACUGAGGUUGGAGUCAUUAAAACUAGUUUACAUACACUGAGGUUGGAGUCAUUAAAACUAGUUUACAUACACUGAGGUUGGAGUCAUUAAAACUAGUUUACAUACACUGAGGUUGGAGUCAUUAAAACUAGUUUACAUACACUGAGGUUGGAGUCAUUAACACUAGUUUACAUACACUGAGGUUGGAGUCAUUAAAACUAGUUUACAUACACUUAGGUUGGAGUCAUUAAAACUAGUUUACAUACACUUAGGUUGGAGUCAUUAAAACUAGUUUACAUACACUUAGGUUGGAGUCAUUAAAACUAGUUUACAUACACUUAGGUUGGAGUCAUUAAAACUAGUUUACAUACACUUAGGUUGGAGUCAUUAAAACUAGUUUACAUACACUCAGGUUGGAGUCAUUAACACUAGUUUACAUACACUGAGGUUGGAGUCAUUAAAACUAGUUUACAUACACUUAGGUUGGAGUCAUUAAAACUAGUUUACAUACACUUAGGUUGGAGUCAUUAAAACUAGUUUACAUACACUUAGGUUGGAGUCAUUAAAACUAGUUUACAUACACUGAGGUUGGAGUCAUUAAAACUAGUUUACAUACACUUAGGUUGGAGUCAU